AUUUACUAUUUAGAAUGAGUAAUUAAUAAUUAUUUAUGGAGUUUGAAGAGGAUCUAUAAUGAAGAUGCAAAAUACCUAAUUGGAAUUUUGAAUAUAGACGAAAAUACAUGAUGAUCCGGACAUUGAUUGUUCUCCCGUAUACCCGAAGCAUGAGGACUCGAACUUUGCCUGAACAUUGAACAAGUGGACUCAAAUACAGCUCUGAAUAUUGCAUCUAAUGGAUCUUUACUCUUUUUUUUUUUUUUUUUCUUUGGUUUUACUACAUAACCGAUACAGUUUUUGACUGUAUUUAGAAUGAAUAAUUGUUUAUGGAAUAUGAAAAGGAUCUAAAUGAAUAUGCAAGAUAAUUAAUGAAAAUUACGAAUAUAGGUUUUAUUGAUGAUAACCUCGACGAAAAUUGAAGAGGCCUCAUUCAUCAGUUCACAUUUAAAUUCUGCUUACAUGUUUCACUAUAAAAAAGGUCUUAUAUGUCGUGAAUGGAUAACGUUAUUGCUGUUGAUUUAUUGAUUGCAUCACUGUCUUCCUCCGUACCAUUGAGACUGAAUUAAAGUGCUCGGCGUAGUAAUCAAUCGUUUUCGAUCACCAGAAUUAAGAAACAAAAAUUUUACUUGGUAUUUUCGAAGUAACUCGAAGAGAGAGUUGCUAUUCUGUUCAGACCAUGAGCAAAACAAGUGACAUUCGACAUCAUUUGGAAAUUUUGCUUAUGGUUUUUGACUGAUUUUAUACAAUAAGCUGUGCCAUCGAUAAUGAAAAACAUAACCUUCUUAACAUCUUUCAAGUUUAUUAAAUAAGGGCAACCUAACAAUGACGAUAUAGAGAAACCAUCAAUACUGCAGUCAUUAAUCAUAGUUUUGUCCAAAAAAGAAGAUUAUCAUUUCCUACAAGUUCUUUCGUAAUCUUUGACUACACUACUUUACUUAGGAACUCCAAUUACUUUGUGAUGGUGUAGCAAGGAGGAAUGGCAUUGGCAGUAUAAAGUAUCAUAAAUUUUACAAAAUGGGAUGGCUAUCAAUAUGGAGUGAGACAUUGCAGGAGACAUGCAUCUUGUUCAUGUCUUACAUAAAAUUAUAUUCUUUCAAUAAAGCUUCAAAUUAAUAUCGUCAA
rnacentral:lncRNA from 1 species